AGCGGCUGGUCGCGUCUGCUGUGAAAUUCCUCGGCUUAACCGGGGGCUUGCAGUGGGUACGGGCUGGCUGGAGUGCGGUAGGGGAGACUGGAAUUCCUGGUGUAGCGGUGGAAUGCGCAGAUAUCAGGAGGAACACCGAUGGCGAAGGCAGGUCUCUGGGCCGUCACUGACGCUGAUGAGCGAAAGCGUGGGGAGCGAACAGGAUUAGAUACCCUGGUAGUCCACGCUGUAAACGUUGGGCACUGGAUGUGGGGGGUGUUUUGCCUCCCGUGUCGUAGCUAACGCGUUAAGUGCCCCGCCUGGGGAGUACGGCCGCAAGGCUAAAACUCAAAGGAAUUGACGGGGCCCCGCACAAGCGGCGGAGCAUGCGGAUUAAUUCGAUGCAACGCGAAGAACCUUACCAAGGCUUGAAAUGCAGGGAAAUCCUCCUGAGAGGGGGGGUGUCUUUUUGGCGUCUUGCACAGGUGGUGCAUGGUUGUCGUCAGCUCGUGUCGUGAGAUGUUGGGUUAAGUCCCGCAACGAGCGCAACCCUUGUCCCAUGUUGCCAGCGGUUCGGCCGGGGACUCAUGGGAGACUGCCGGGGUCAACUCGGAGGAAGGUGGGGAUGACGUCAAAUCAUCAUGCCCCUUAUGUCUUGGGCUUCACGCAUGCUACAAUGGCCGGUACAGAGGGUUGCGACGGCGCGAGCCUGGGCGAAUCCCUUAAAGCCGGUCUCAGUUCGGAUUGGGGUCUGCAACUCGACCCCAUGAAGUCGGAGUCGCUAGUAAUCGCAGAUCAGCAACGCUGCGGUGAAUACGUUCCCGGGGCUUGUACACACCGCCCGUCACGUCAUGAAAGUCGGUAACACCCGAAGCCCAUGGCCCAACCGUUUUCGGGGGGAGUGUCGA
rnacentral:rRNA from 1 species